GCCCGCUUAGCUCAGUGGUAGAGCGCGUCACUAGUACCUCCCGCGUUUGUGGACGCCAUCCGGCAUGACGAGGUCGGUUGUUCGAUCCAGCCAGCGGGCA